UGCGUAGGCGGAUUAAUAAGUCAGUGGUGAAAACCUGCAGCUUAACUGUAGACUUGCCAUUGAUACUGUUAGUCUUGAGUACGGUCAAGGUAGGCGGAAUGUGUAAUGUAGCGGUGAAGUGCUUAGAUAUUACACAGAACACCGAUUGCGAAGGCAGCUUACUGGGCCAUUACUGACGCUGAGGCACGAAAGCGUGGGGAGCGAACAGGAUUAGAUACCCUGGUAGUCC
rnacentral:rRNA from 1 species